AACGAACGCUGGCGGCGUGCUUAACACAUGCAAGUCGAACGAUGAACCCGGAGCUUGCUCCGGUGGAUUAGUGGCGAACGGGGGAGUAACACGUGAGGAACCUGCCCUUGACUCUGGGAUAACUGCGGGAAACUGUGGCUAAUACCGGAUACGACCCUCGGCGGCAUCGCACGGGGGGGGAAAGAAUUUAGGUCAAGUAUGGACACGGGGCCUAUCAGCUAUUUGGGGCGGUAAUGGCUCAUCAAGGCGACGACGGGUAGCCGGCCUGAGAGGGCGGCCGGCCAAACUGGGACUGAGACACGGCCCAGACUCCUACGGGAGGCAGCAGUGGGGAAUAUUGCACAAUGGGAGCAAGCCUGAUGCAGCAACGCCGCGUGAGGGAUGACGGCCUUCGGGUUGUAAACCUCUUUUAGUAGGGAAGAAGCGAAAGUGACGGUACCUGCAGAAAAAGCACCGGCUAACUACGUGCCAGCAGCCGCCGUAA
rnacentral:rRNA from 1 species